ensembl:lncRNA
CUUUCAUACUGAAAAUUCAACUUUUACAAGUCUCUUUGUGGAAUUGGUUCAAAGUUUUGAAUAUCUUUAUUUAAUUAAUUUUGUCCUAAAGGUUGGUGGCAGGACAGGACAGAUACAACAUUUGGAUGAAAAACCCUGAGUGGUGGAAUAGGGGAGGCAAUGUGGAGGGCACAGGGGACUCACACAACAGUGGCUCUGUUUCUGUUCAUCAGGAAAAUUGGGCGUAUCUGAAUAGUUUUCACACCAUCUAAGUAGCAUUGCAGAUAUAGGUGGAUCCCAUGAGAUGGCAGCUGGGGAUGAAGGUUAACACAAGCAUGCCUGAGCCCCUGCAUGAUUACUCUGUCCUACUGAUAACAUGCAAGUGAAAGCUAGAGUCCAAAUCACUUAAGCAGUUUGCAUACUUGUUACAUCUUGAAUGACUUCAGAUAAUUUUUUUUUUUUUAAGUUUGGUGCCAACCUGCUUCUCAAAUCCUCAAACACUUGCUGGUCCACAUGAUUUCUGCUGUAGGCAGCUGUUACUUCAAAAAUUAAGCCAAAAGAAACCUCUAUACGCUGCAUACUUAAUAUGGGACAUAUUAAUUUUUUUAUACCAAAACCACAUCAUAUAGCUAAGCAUGCUGAAGUCCCAGCUUUGUCAGAGGUCAGCUAGUACAGAAUCCAACCAUUCUUUCUAUGUUCUGUGUCGCCCAGUAUCAUUUAUUGCAUUGUUACCUCCUACUUACUACACUUUUACGGAAGAAGACAUUUUAUCUUAACUGCCUUUGUGUCUCUAAAACUGAAACAACGUGCAAAUUUUGUUAUGUGAUCUACGAUGCCUGGAAAAGUUUGUAGCGAAGAUCACUACAUCUCACAAAAAGUGAAUAAAAAGAAGAGGAUUGGUAUUUCUGGAAAUGACUGUUCAUUGAAAAUUCAGCAACGUGGCCUUAUAAUCUUCAGAUAUGAAUUUUCUGUAAACGUGUUACUGAGUCCCUGUAGUAGAAGACUUGGAAGAAAUAAACAGAAAAGUAAUAGAAAUAUUGGAAUACAUAUUUUUCUUUAUUGUUUUUGAGGAACUUGAAAACAGGACAGGUCACCUUCAACUCAGUGUUUAAAGAGGCACUUAAGAAUCAGGAUCUCAUUGGCAUCAGUAUGUUUUACACCUGAACUUGAAAAGUGUCUCAAAGUCUUGUUAAUAUUUGAAAAAAUAUUUCAAGGACCUUAGAACAAAAGGAAUACUUUAAUAUUUCAAUGGAAAGAAGAAUAUCAUGUCUACUGCCAGAAAUAUGGACUGCGUUUUGAAAUUUGCAUUGUAUUAGACAAUAUUUGUAAUUCAGUGGGGGUAGUAAGGGCUCCCGUGGUGUAGCUGGACACUAGCAUCUGUUUGGACUUUCCAUUUGCAUAUUCAGACCACAAUUCUGCCAUAGCACAGAAGUAAAGCCUAGAAAAUAAUUAUUCAUAUGUUUCCAGUUGUAUCUUUUACCCAAACUUCAUUUUAUUUUUCUCCUAGAAUGCACAGACGGACUAAGGGUUGAUUAGCUCACUGGCCGUACUUCAUUAUGAAACAGUAUAUAAUUCAUGUUUAAAAAUUCUUUUCCCUUAGAUCCUUUCCCCGCUUGCCAAAAAGGAAAGUGUUUUGCACUUGUAUUUAUGUCUCUCAGAUAUAUUUUUGAUUUAUUUGAUUUAACUAUCCAGUGAAUUCUAGUCAACAUGGAUUUUAAAUACUAAUAAAAGUAAAGUUGAG